UUUUUUCUAACACUUUCCAGCGGAGAACACACCUUGUUUUGAGGAAACUGAGGCUGAAAUGCUCCUACGCUGCUGUCGCCUUCUCCUACGCUGACAUCACUGCAGGAAUAUAGCCAACCUUGCAAGACCGGUGCAAAACCCACAGGUGGUGACACAGAAGCUUGCUCACAUCUUUGGAAACAACAGAAAGCACAAACGCGCCUUUCCUUGCCAGCUCCUACGCUAGGAAUCUCUUUAUCUGGUUUUAUCUGGAGGUGGGCAAUCCAGCUCCGUUCCCUUCCUGUGUGCUGCAGCAAGGAACAUGAGCGCUCCCUGCUCCAAGCUCGCUGUCGUCGGGGCUUUGCCUCCGAAGAAGACUCAAUGGCACCAUCUGAUGGCCAUCAGAAGAGCUGUGCGCUCCUGCGGGCGCGGCAGGAUGGUCUCUGAGACAGCUAUUCCCAAGCAGGAACCCUGUUUGUAGCUGGGGUGGUGGUCCUGGUGGGGACAAAGUGAGGCUUUGGAGAGGGAUGGCAGCGUCGGGAUUUGGCCAUGUGAGGCCCUCUUGAUGCAGGCGGUUUUGUCCUGGUCCAGGUCCAAUGGGGAUUUAUUUGCUCCCAGCUCCAGCGUCCCUCUGGAAGAUCAUUCCUGGAGACUGUGAAGGAGAGAGGAGAGGCAAAGAUAUUUCCUGAAACCGAAGCCCUGAGAGGAACGCGUGAGAGGCGCAAAUCGAUGCUGCACUUCCGAGAGCCUCCAGACUCCCUGGAUCAGCAAUAACAGAAGGUUGAGCUCAUUGCUAAUGGCUUCGGUGGGUGUGAGAGCCAAGGGCAGCCAGUCCGUGCAGGAGAAGGGCUUGGUACUGCCUGCAUCUGUCAGCAGCUCUGCCUGGCACAGCCCCGGCAGAUGGAGAGGGUGAGCGCACCAGGAAGAUCCUUUUUCACCACUUCUCUGCACACAGAGCAUUUUUCUCAUGAGGAGAGGAGUCAAGGCUUCACUGUUGGCCAGGUGCUGUCAAACAUGCAGCUGAGCUGUUGUUGAGAGCAGAGCUGGUGAGACCACAGGGGUUGUGUGAGCUGGAUGGCUCCUCACACUCCCCUGGGUUAUCUUGCUGGCUGCUUCCUCUUCAGUCUCCUCUGAUAUAACAUCACAGAAUCAUUUAGGUUGGAAAAGACGUUCAGGAUCACAAAAUCCAACCAUCAAGCUUGCCUAGUGAGUUCCAUGAUUAAAACAUGGCCCUUAGUGCCAUACUCACACCUCUCAGUGUCUCUACCCCUUAUAUACUUUCUUAAAUGCUUGCAAGGAAAGAGACUUCCCCAGACCUAAGAGGUUAUUCUGCUACCUGAGAAACCUCAGUGCUUCUGCCUGGCUCUGGAGGCAAGGUGCCCAUUGGUGGAACUGGGCUGAAGCAGCUCUUCCAUCACAGUACAG
rnacentral:lncRNA from 1 species